ensembl:lncRNA
ACUGCGGCUCACAUGACCGCAGUCGGUGCUUCCUCACUGCGCUGAGGAGCCGUGCAGGGGCCGACUCCAAGCUCCAGCUCUACGGGAAUAACAGCCCAGGGGAGCGGGGGGACAGCUGACAUGAGCUGCUGUUAGUCGGUGAAGCUGUGAGCCGUUCUCUCAGAUCCUAGAUGUGUCCAUGCUGCAGGCCGGGGAUCCUGGAUGGGAAAGAAGCAGACGAAUGUUUAUUCCAGCCCCUGCAGUGAAAACAUAGCACAGGCAAAACACAGAGACUCUCUGCUGGGCAACAUGAGUACAGACAGACCCAAGCGGAACGUCAUCAGAAAAAGAUAUGCUCUGUAGUUAACACUGCGAUCAAGCGUCGGGCAGCUGGUCCAAACUGGAGCUGGUCCUUACAGACGCAACAACGCCAUCCUACCAGCAGUCGUGGUGAUGAAGAUGAUUGUGCCAAAAACAGACCUCGGCUGCACGCACAGAGAAAGUUUGCUCAGUCCCCACCCAGCUCUCCAGGACCAUUGGUGCUGAUGAGGUCUGCACAGAAUACCCACUCCCACAGCCUGGCUGUAGUCACCUGUCUGACCAAACGUCGCCCUAAGACUGAGGACUUUUUGUCUUUUCUCUGUUUAAGAGGUUCAGCAGCAUUACCGCGCAACAUGGCAUUCUUAACAAGUAAGCGAGACAGGGAGCCAGGUGACAGUCAGCGUUUGCCUUCCUGUCACAAGGCUCCAGCUGAGGAGAAGAAAAUCAGGAUGUUAUGUAGAAAAACAGUGCACAGUGACUCCAGGUCACUGAAGAGGAGGCCUGCCAGCCCUGCUGUGCUCAGAUCCACCUGCCCUUUAACAGCUCGAGCACAGAAAAGGAUGGACAGCGAUGAAAGAGAAGGGAAGCAACAGAAGAAGGGAGUGGAGGGGGACAGGCGAGAGGGCGCUCAGAUACACCUCCUGAGACCUCGCCAGCACUUACUUCAUGUCAAGAGGGCUAACAAGGUUGCCAUGGUUACUAAAAUCUCUGAGCAAAGAACCUCCUGUGUAGCGUCAGUCAUUCCUUUAACGCCGAGAACUGGUGUUGGUAACAAACAAGGCACAAGGCCAAGCAAUACAUACAAAUCAAGGCGCCAUCCCCAAAGCAGAGCCCAGGAAAGCAGCAACAAGUACCACCCCCUACAUCACAACCACCGUCGGGCUAACAAUCAGCACCUUCGCCACCCAACGCUUUCUAAAUACUAUAGCAUCCACACAACCUUCAGUAUUCUCCACAAUUCAGGAAGAAAUUCAUGCCAAACUCCAUGUUUAAAUAAACGUUCAGUGUCUAGACGGCUGAAUGAGAACCCUGUGGUCCUGAGGUUAUCCAGACGGAGGAGAGGCCUUCCACCAGACACCAGCCCUGUCCUUCCGAAUCGGGUUCCCUUGGACAAAAACUCAUCAAAUGAGUGCCAGACAUCUCAGGACAAAGAUGCUCGUGUCUCACAGGAGAGUGAUAUUUACGAGAUUCAGCAGAAAGGGGACAAUGUUAGAGAGGAUUAUGUGAACAUGUGUAAACACUCUGGUAACCACGAUGUGAAAGCUGUAGGAAAAAGAUACGGGCAUGUUGGAGAUGUGAAACUUGAGAGGGGAAAGGGAAAUAUAGAAAAGCUGCCUGUGGCAAGCACAGCUGCUCUGGAGGCCUCUGAUCAAAGGGAAAGCCUCACUAAUGUCAGCACUAGCUAUAACCUCAUGCCUGCUGGUGAGGUUGUAUGGAAACACCUGAGAGAGAAAACACUCCAAAAACAUCAGAACUCUACAAUCUUAAAGCCACCUGCCAGGGCUAAUGAGUCCAGGGCUGCUGCUAGGACUAGUGUAACUAAAGCUGCUAUUAACUCAGUGACAUCUGACCCACCAGCCAAUUCUUUUUCCAGGCACAGUGCCAAGGGUACUGAUAACAGCAAGAAAAUUAAGAAGAGUAGUUUACGAGCCGGCACCAACAUAGCCCAUGAAUCCAAAAGUGCUACAAAACAGUCUUCAAUGAGCACCACGAAGGACACAUGCAAGGAUGGUGCACUUACCAUCAGUUACUGUAGCACUUCCAAAGAGGGGCUUCUCCAGGCCAAGCCUACUACCUCAGCCAUCAAGACCAGGUUCAGCUCUAGAAUCCUUCUAAAGCACUGAUUUUUAAACAGUAUCCAAACAUGAAUACACUCACUGUUAUGUAACUAAGAUUUUAUGAUGACAAGUACAGAAAUGUUUUUAAAAGCUUUUAUUGUGUUGAAUAGUGGCAGAGCAUGAUGAUGGGUUUCCUGUCAGACAGUACAUGUCCUGUACUGGUGUCAUUGUUGAAGAUAAAAUAAACUGGAAGUCAUGAUACUGGCUGAUGCACUAUAACGUGGACUGUAUGAUGCAGAAGUGAUAAAGCUUAAAAGCUGCUAGCUUUCAGUUUUUUCAUUGUUUGCUUUUUGUCUGUUUAUUUUCUUCUUGCUUGCUAUUUCUCUUACUGUAUCUUGGAAAAAAAAUAAAAGUAUGGGGGGGGGCACCUUUUAGCACAUUAUGGUAAAUGGACUACUCAGUGUGAGCUGUCAAAGCACUUUUUCUACACGUUUCAUUCACUCAUUCACGCACAAUGCGUUUAUCUGUCUAAAGUGCAUUUACAUAACAAUCGCACACACUUUGAUGGGAGAUCCAUGAGCGGACCUCGGGGUUCAUUAUCUGCUUGAAGGAUUCUGUGACACAUGGACAGCUGGAGCCAGGCAUCAAGCCGCCGACCUGGUAGAGCACCAGCUCUGCCUCGGAGCCGCGGCCACCACGAGGUCAACAUUUUGUUUGAACAGCUACAGUAGUUGGUCUCCUCGGCUCCCAGCUGCCCUCGGGCUUCUGUCCUAACAUUUCUGAAACGUGUUGCUAACUUGAAAUUUAUGUAUUCAAAAUAAUAAAAACAGUUUUAAAAUUGAAGCUUUAACAUUUGACAUUUUUAUACUACUGCUACAUUUUGACCCAAGACAGUUUGUUGUACUACAUAAUGUCGCGUUUAAUCAGUCUGCAUAUUUUAUCUGCAUUGCCAAUAAUAACUUUUGCACUAUUUUAGGACCAUAAUAAACGUUUCAGCUAACAUAAUUUACUAAUGCUAGAAUGUAAAGAAUGCAAUAACAGCACCACUGCUGCAUCAAGCAACGUGCAGCAUGACCCCUGGGUGUUUGCUACCCGGGGGAUCAAACCCUCUGUGGGGCAAGUGUUGCCAUCUUGGAGGAUGGAGGUUGGUCCUAGACGAUGGAAAUACAAGAUUUCCACUGAUAUGUUUCUUGAGUGAGAUUAAUGACAAGCCUCAUUUUUCCAGUAAGGACUAUGCUACCCUAUAUUUCUAUGCUGCCUCCACCAAAAGCUGUUGUUCUCCGAGCCUUCCUCACACUUUGACCCUAUGAUCAAACUGCCAUAGGCGGAAUCUGGACUCAGUGCUGACAGACUGUUCCUCUCAAUGUUCAUGUCCCAGAACAUGUUACUGACACCAGCACAGACAAGUCAAGCUCACAAGUAUUAGAUCUGCUCAUUCGGAAAAUCAUCGGCUGCAGGAUUAGUGAAGCUGAAGCAAACGCUGAGAUUACAGCUGUAACUGUAUCCUGAUGCAUAGAAAGUGGUUGAUUAAUAAAAUAAACAUUUAAAU